rnacentral:rRNA from 1 species
GAUGAACGCUGGCGGCGUGCCUAAUACAUGCAAGUCGAGCGAACGGACGAGAAGCUUGCUUCUCUGAUGUUAGCGGCGGACGGGUGAGUAACACGUGGAUAACCUACCUAUAAGACUGGGAUAACUUCGGGAAACCGUAGCUAAUACCGGAUAAUAUCUUGAACCACAUGGUUCAAAAUUGAAAGACGGUCUUGCUGUAACUUAUAGAUGGAUCCGCGCUGCAUUAGCUAGUUGGUAAGGUAACGGCUUACCAAGGCAACGAUGCAUAGCCGACCUGAGAGGUGGAUCGGCCACACUGGAACUGAGACACGGUCCAGACUCCUACGGGAGGCAGCAGUAGGGAAUCUUCCGCAAUGGGCGAAAUCCUGACGGAGCAACGCCGCGGGAGUGAUGAAGGUCUUCGGAUCGUAAAACUCUGUUAUUAGGGAAGAACAUAUGUGUAAGUAACUGUGCACAUCUUGACGGUACCUAAUCAGAAAGCCACGGCUAACUACGUG